GGGCCCGUAAAGGUUUCGACGGGGAUUUUGACACAUGAUAAGCGUGGCGGGCUGAGUAAUCCCGUAUAAUGCUCAACUUAAAAUUAAACGCAGACGAUAAAAAGUACGCGCUGGCAGCGUAAGCUGCUGAUGCCGCAUAAGCGGCCCGUCACAUACAGAAGGACCACGGUCUGUAUC
rnacentral:tmRNA from 1 species